rnacentral:rRNA from 1 species
UGGGGAAUAUUGCACAAUGGAGGAAACUCUGAUGCAGCGACGCCGCGUGAGGGAAGAAGGUUUUCGGAUUGUAAACCUCUGUCCUCAGGGAAGAUAAUGACGGUACCUGAGGAGGAAGCCACGGCUAACUACGUGCCAGCAGCCGCGGUAAUACGUAGGUGGCAAGCGUUGUCCGGAAUUACUGGGUGUAAAGGGAGCGUAGGCGGAUUGGCAAGUUGGGCGUUAAAUCUAUGGGCUUAACCCAUAUAAGCGUUCAAAACUGUUGAUCUUGAGUGAAGUAGAGGUAGGCGGAAUUCCUAGUGUAGCGGUGAAAUGCGUAAAUAUUAGGAGGAACACCAGUGGCGAAGGCGGCCUACUGGGCUUUAACUGACGCUGAGGCUCGAAAGCGUGGGUAGCAAAC